rnacentral:rRNA from 1 species
CCUACGGGCGGCUGCAGUGGGGAAUAUUGGACAAUGGGGGGAACCCUGAUCCAGCCAUGCCGCGUGUGUGAAGAAGGCCCUCGGGUUGUAAAGCACUUUCAGUGAGGAAGAACGCCUGGUGGCUAUUACCCAUCAGGAAAGACAUCACUCACAGAAGAAGCACCGGCUAACUCCGUGCCAGCAGCCGCGGUAAUACGGAGGGGGCGAGCGUUAAUCGGAAUUACUGGGCGUAAAGCGUGCGUAGGUGGCUUGAUAAGCCGGUUGUGAAAGCCCCGGGCUCAACCUGGGAACGGCAUCCGGAACUGUCAAGCUAGAGUGCAGGAGAGGAAGGUAGAAUUCCCGGUGUAGCGGUGAAAUGCGUAGAGAUCGGGAGGAAUACCAGUGGCGAAGGCGGCCUUCUGGACUGACACUGACACUGAGGUGCGAAAGCGUGGGUAGCAAACAGGAUUAGAUACCCGUGUAGUC